UACAGAGGUCUCAAGCGUUGUUCGGAUUCAUUGGGCGUAAAGGGUGCGUAGGUGGCGCCGUAAGUCAGGUGUGAAAUCUCGGGGCUCAACCCCGAAACUGCACUUGAUACUGCGGUGCUCGAGUACUGGAGAGGAGAUUGGAAUUUACGGUGUAGCAGUGAAAUGCGUAGAUAUCGUAAGGAAGACCAGUGGCGAAGGCGAAUCUCUGGACAGUUACUGACACUGAGGCACGAAAGCCGGGGGAGCAAACAGG
rnacentral:rRNA from 1 species